GAUGAACGCUGGCGGCGUGCCUAAUACAUGCAAGUCGAGCGAACAGACGAGGAGCUUGCUCCUCUGACGUUAGCGGCGGACGGGUGAGUAACACGUGGAUAACCUACCUAUAAGACUGGGAUAACUUCGGGAAACCGGAGCUAAUACCGGAUAAUAUAUUGAACCGCAUGGUUCAAUAGUGAAAGACGGUUUUGCUGUCACUUAUAGAUGGAUCCGCGCCGCAUUAGCUAGUUGGUAAGGUAACGGCUUACCAAGGCAACGAUGCGUAGCCGACCUGAGAGGGUGAUCGGCCACACUGGAACUGAGACACGGUCAAGACUCCUACGGGAGGCAGCAGUAGGGAAUGUGACGCAAUGGGCGAAAGCUUGACGGAGCAACGCCGCGUGAGUGAUGAAGGUCUUCGGAUCGUAAAACUCUGUUAUUAGGGAAGAACAAAUGUGUAAGUAACUAUGCACGUCUUGACGGUACCUAAUCAGAAAGCCACGGCUAACUACGUG
rnacentral:rRNA from 1 species